AGUCAUUCCAGUUUAUUUUUAGUGCAAUAGUUCAAAUAUAAUCUUUAAUUUAAAUAUUUAAAAUGCAUUUUCAUGUUGUGACCUUAGAAAACAUUCAACUCUUCCUUUCCUGUUAUUGUUUAAAGGUUGAUAAAAAAAACAAAAAAAAAACAAAAAAAAAACAGAAUAUACUGGCAAGGUUCAGGAAGAAAGAGGACCUGAAAGCAGGACUUUCAGCAAACCAGGGAAACAUAAAGUUGACCUUUUUAUGAAAGUAGGAUUCAAAAAUCCCCAAAGUGCAAAAAAAAGAAAAAAAAAAAGAAAAAAACACACAAAAAAUUUAAUUUAAAAACAGGAACUGGUCAUCACAAGGGAGGUUAAACAGACACACUGACAAAGACUGAAGGAGACAAAGACUGAAGGAGACUAUCACAAAUUAGGGAAAAAGAUAACGGCUGCCAAGAUGUAUUAUCAACGUCUAAGUUUCUAUGGAGUGAGAUUCUUUUACUUGACUGCCCUGGGGCUGAAAAAUGAAGCCAACCCAAAAGCAUGUCUUUUAUCCUGUCUUCCUUCUCUCACCCCAACCGGUCGCAGCAGAUGGCCCCGCCCCUCCCUGAGCCUGGUUCUGCCGGAGGUUUCUUCCUGUUAAAAGGGAGUUUUUCCUUCCCACUGUUGCCAAAGUGCUUGCUCAUAGGGGGUCAUAUGAUUGUUG
ensembl:lncRNA